rnacentral:misc_RNA from 1 species
AAGAGCAGUGGCUUGGGGUUUGAAGGAGCUGAGCGGCGCGAGGAAGAGCGAGCGGAGCGGAGUGAGAGAGCGAAUUAGGGUUUUGAUAAUCGGAAUCAAGAAGGAAGAAUCGUCUUGUGUGAGCGAUUCGUUUAUAGAGAGAGGUGUGGUGAGAUCGCGAGAGCGAGUUGAGUGUAUAUCCUACGAUUUCCACUCUCCGCUAAUCAAUUUGUCAGACAAGUUUUCGUUACCAUGUCGGAGAAGAAGCUUGUGGUUUUAGGCAUCCCAUGGGACGUGGAUACAGAAGGUCUAAGGGAAUAUAUGAUCAAAUAUGGAGAUUUAGAGGAUUGUAUUGUGAUGAAGGAACGUGCUACUGGUCGUUCUCGUGGAUUCGGCUAUGUCACAUUUGCUACAGUUGAGGAUGCUAAGAAUGCAUUGUCUAAGGAGCACUUUCUUGGAAACAGAAUGCUAGAAGUGAAAGUGGCGACACCGAAGGAGGAGAUGAGGGCUCCUGCAAAGAAAGUGACCAGGAUUUUCGUUGCUAGGAUUCCUCCGUCUGUGUCUGAAGCUACUUUCAGAGGUUAUUUUGAGAAGUACGGUGAAAUAACAGAUCUGUACAUGCCAAAGGAUCCAUCUACCAAGGGACAUCGUGGAAUUGGGUUUAUUACUUUUGCAAAUGCUGAAUCAGUUGAUGAUCUGAUGAGUGACACCCAUGAACUGGGAGGUUCCACAAUUGUGGUGGACCGAGCAACACCCAAGGAAGAAGAUUUCAGACCUGUUAGUCGGAUGUCUCAGAGUGGAGGAGGAUAUGGUGCAUAUAAUGCAUAUAUGAGUGCAACUACUAGAUAUGGUGCGCUUGGUGCUCCUACCUUAUAUGAUCAUCCUAGUUCUAUGUAUGGAAGAGG